AUACGGAGGAUCCGAGCGUUAUCCGGAUUUAUUGGGUUUAAAGGGUGCGCAGGCGAGAGAUUAAGUCGGCGGUGAAAUUUUGCAGCUCAACUGUAAAAGUGCCUUCGAAACUGGUUUCCUUGAGUGUAGAUGAAGUAGGCGGAAUUUGUGGUGUAGCGGUGAAAUGCAUAGAUAUCACGAGGAACUCCGAUUGCGCAGGCAGCUUACUAAACUACUUCUGACGCUCAGGCACGAAGGCGUGGGGAUCAAACAGGAUUAGAUACCCUGGUAGUCCACGCAGUAAACGAUGAUUACUAGCUGUUUGCGAUACAAUGUAAGCGGCUGAGCGAAAGCGUUAAGUAAUCCACCUGGGGAGUACGUUCGCAAGAAUGAAACUCAAAUGAAUUGACGGGG
rnacentral:rRNA from 1 species